UGGUGCCACGCUCCUGCUGGCAGCCAGUGGAACCGUAGCUGCAGGCCGUGAGAUAUACGGGGCGACACGACGCGAGCUGUUGGCUGCCUGCGCCUGGGAGGCCGCUAAGAUGCCGAUGCUGAAUGAAGUGGAGAUCCUGCCUCCGCCCAGCGGGCUGGAGCGCGAGCACAGCACGAUCUUCACUCCCGAGGCUGUGCAAUUCCUGACCGACUGCUACAGACAUUUCUGCGCCGAUGUGCAGGCGCUGUACGACGCCCGGAGGCAGCGUCAGCUGACGCUCGACAGUGGC